rnacentral:misc_RNA from 1 species
GGUUGAUAUUGUUCCAGCGGAUGCUGAGCCAGAAAAAUGCAUCCAAGCUUGUCCACAUGAUUCCAAAGAUGUCCAGAGCAAGCCUCAAUGUAGUACCAUAAGAAGUUGCACAAAGGUGCAUAAACAAGGAAUUGCGCUCGGCAGGUCUGUGGAUCUUACAAAAUUUAACAACUAUGAUGAAUUGACAGCCGAGUUAGACAAGAUGUUUGGUUUUGAGGGUGAACUGAUGUCUCCGAACAAAAAUUGGAUGGUUGUAUACACUGAUAAUGAGGGCGAUAUGAUGCUAGUCGGAGAUGACGAUCCAUGGCAAGAAUUCUGCAGCGUGGUUCGCAAGAUUUUCAU